rnacentral:tRNA from 1 species
GUUUUGGUAGUGUAAUGGAUUGGCACGUCAGACCGAAUAUCUGUAGCUGCGGGUUCAAGUCCCACCUGAGGUU